rnacentral:rRNA from 1 species
ACUCCUGCGGGAGGCAGCAGUGGGGAAUAUUGCACAAUGGGCGCAAGCCUGAUGCAGCCAUGCCGCGUGUGUGAAGAAGGCCUUCGGGUUGUAAAGCACUUUCAGCGGGGAGGAAGGCAAUGCGGUUAAUAACCGUGUUGAUUGACGUUACCCGCAGAAGAAGCACCGGCUAACUCCGUGCCAGCAGCCGCGGUAAUACGGAGGGUGCAAGCGUUAAUCGGAAUUACUGGGCGUAAAGCGCACGCAGGCGGUCUGUCAAGUCGGAUGUGAAAUCCCCGGGCUCAACCUGGGAACUGCAUUCGAAACUGGCAGGCUUGAGUCUUGUAGAGGGGGGUAGAAUUCCAGGUGUAGCGGUGAAAUGCGUAGAGAUCUGGAGGAAUACCGGUGGUGAAGGCGGCCCCCUGGACAAAGACUGACGCUCAGGUGCGAAAGCGUGGGGAGCAAACAGGAUUAGAAACCCGAGUAGUCCCAUGA